GAGCAGGUGAACAGCGUAGUUGUCAGAACAGAAUCCAGUCUGACUGAGGGUGUUUUAUAUGUCUUCAUAAAGCUCCAGCGCUGCCCCGGCUCUCUCUUCCACAGCUUCCUGUAGCUCAGCAGCUGUCUGUCGGCCAGAGGAAAUUCACGUGGUAUUGCAACACAGGAUGCACAGGGGCUAGCAGAGCUGCUGUCCACUUCCCACCAUCAGGCUUGUUCCCACCACUGGAUACAGCAGGGAAGGAGAACGCUGAGGUUUGGCAUUACUGGAUAAAGAUUUAAUGCUGUGCGGUUGAGGAUGAUGUUUCGGUGCUGGAUCCUGUGUAGAGCUGUUGUCCACAUGUUUAUAAUGAAGACCAGCUCUUUUAGAGUCACCUCAGGACCUUCAGGUAACCAGCUGCCAUCAGCGCCAGGCUCUUCUCAGAAUAGACGUACAAAGGUUCAGAUAAGUGCAACCACCUUCUUAAGCAAAAUACUGCUCUGUAAAGAUAAUAAUCAGAUGAAAUAAAGAGAGGAAACCAUUAGUUAUGGGCUGAAAGAGCUGAAGACAAACCUUCACCAUGUUUUGAAAUUUCUGGUGUUACUUUGACAACAGUUUUUGAGCAAAUAGCCUGAUUAUAACAUUAAUAUGAAUCUGUUGUUAUUUUAUAAUUGUAAGGUAUACUGUAGUUUUUACUUUGAAGACAAAUUAAUUGUAUUUGAAGUUCAUGCUCACGUGUAGCCAGAUGGGUUGAGUAAAAGUGUAUACAGCUUAUGCAGUGAGGGGACAGACAGAGGAGGUCCGUUUGAGUUCAAGAUGAGUUCCAAAGUAACAAAUGCAAGGUUCAACAAACACAGCUGGAGAUCAACUAUGUUAAGAAGGGGUAAAGGCGUGAACUGUAAGCAAUGGUAAGUAUAACAGUUUUCAAAUUUGCUGAUCUGCUCUGUUGUUCUAGAGAAGCUGGAGUUGUCCAUCUUCUGAAAUCUUUUGACAUAAACAGUAUAUUUACUUUUUUGUCAUACUCCCUGUGGCUGUGGUUCAGGCACAGUUUGGUGGUUUGAGCCCCAGCUCCACAUGUUGAAAUGCCCUGACCGGAAGGACUGUCCCUUGCAUGGAUUUGUGGGUUACUGAGAACCAUUGUCAUAGUCGGGUUGAAAAGCACUGCACAAAUGCAAUAUACUUACUGUAUUAACAACUGUUUGCUUGUCUGUGUGCUUGUAUGUAUUUUUUGACAUUUUUCAGUGAAUAAACAUGGACA